GGGGGGAGGGGGACCCGUUUUAAUCGGAAUUACUGGGCGUAAAGCGCACGCAGGCGGUCUGUCAAGUCGNGAUGUGAAAUCCCCGGGCUCAACCUGGGAACNUGCAUUCGAAACUNGGCAGGCUAGAGUCUUNGUAGAGGGGGGUAGAAUUCCAGGNUGUAGCGGUGAAAUGCGUAGAGAUCUGGAGGAAUACCGGUGGCGAAGGCGGCCCCCUGGACAAAGACUGACGCUCAGGUGCGAAANGCGUGGGGAGCAAACANGGAUUAGAUACCCUGGUAGUCCACGCCGUAAACGAUGUCGAUUUGGAGGUUGUGCCCUUGAGGCCAGGCUUCCGGAGCUAACGCGUUAAAUCAACCGCCUGGGGAAUACGGCCGCAUGGUUAAAACUCAAAUGAAUUGACGGGGGGCCGCGCUGGCGGGGAUAAUGGGGUUUAAUUCGAUNCCUGCGCGGGAGAACCUUACCUGGUCUUGACUCUAAAGAAGGGUCC
rnacentral:rRNA from 1 species